UUCCUUUCCUCACCGAUCUCCCUGCACCGAGCAGCAGCAGGAAAAAACAAACCCUGCGCAGUCCUACAAAGCUAGCUUUAGUUCUUCGUUGUAUUUCAGGUUUACUGAAGGCACUUUAAUCGACCAAAGCGAGCGCGUGGAACACCUGGGUCCCUCCACGGACGACGGGAGAUUAAUGGAGAGACAUAAACACCACAGCUGGACAGAACGUCAUUCUGCCAUGUCAAGCUCCAAACUACAACAUCAUAGUUGCAGAUUGGAGCAGAGCUGACCUGGGAUCAGAAUAUGUCCUUUUGUACCGGGAUGAUCUGUUUGUUCCAGACAACCAGCAUCCAUCUUUUAAGAACCGGGUGGAUCUGCAGGACAGACAGAUGAAGGAUGGUGACGUGUCUCUGAUUCUGAAGGAUGUGACGAUUAAUGAUAGUGGAGCAUACGAGUGUCGUGUCCUCCAGAGAGGAAACAACCGUGGGAAAAGAGCUGUGUUGAAGAACAACCCCAUCAGCAUCAUCUACCUGAGUGUUGUUGAUCCUCCAGCUCAGACAGGAGGACACACAGAGGAUGGACAGGAGGAGGACAGAGUCAAUAGAGGACGUCCUGGUCUGUCAGCUUUUGGUGUGUUUUGUGUUCUUAUAGCUGCUUUUGUGAUCUCUGGAAAAUUGAGAAACAAGAAUUCCUCACUUGCUCCGCCUGAACAACAGCAAGCCUAAAAAGAAGAAGCUCUUCGCUUUUUUUCCUCUUUCUUUGUCUUCAGACAAACCAGUUUACUGUAGCAGUACACACAUGUCAUGGCAUCCCUGCAGAUUCAGCUUUAAAUAUGACCACAACAAAGCGUUUCAUUAUUGCUACAUAAGGGGCUCUCAUACAGGACAUCAGUUUCAGUCACGUGUCUCUGAAAUUUGCUCUGACUAAAUGAACACGUGAAUUUUGUCAGAUUAAGUUACUGUGUAAUCUCAGAGGUUAAACUGAGGUCCAGAAGUGUCUGAUGUGGUUGUAGAGCACCCUGAGAGAACAUACAAUGAUGUUACAUGAUUUAUUUAUUGGACACGGAAGCAGUGAUUAUUUUUCUCUGCUGUUAUGAAGUGUUUAAUGUUAAAGGUGAAAUCAGAAGUUUCCACCUUUAAGAUUGUGUGAUCCUCUGAUUACUCUGAAGUGCUGAGCUAAGCCAUGCUGUGGUUUUACUCUGUGAAAGGGAAAGUUUGUUAACUCAUGUUCGUGUUUUGAAAGUAUUUGAAGGUAUCCUGUAACCCGAGCUGUUAGAUUCAUGCAGAUUAAUGCUGAGAGUAAAAUUGCUUCUUUCAUGGAUGUGACCAUCUUUUAUGUCAUACCUUUCUUUCGUCUUUCUCAAUCAAUUUGGGGCCUUAUUUUUCCUCUGCUGGUCCUGUCUUCUGCGGCGUGCCUCAAGGAUCUGUCCUUGGUCCCCUGCUCUUCUCACUGUAUAUGCUUCUCUUAGGCGCAAUCUUUGAGAAGUACAACAUCCUUGUUAUGCCAGUGACAUACAGAUCUAUUUUGAAUUAACUGAUGAUCGUUCCAUGUCUGUGCACUGUUUUUGUGAGUGUAUGUGUGAGGUCAAAGAUUGGCUCUCUGGUAACUCCCUUAGCUUAAAUAACAGGAAAACCAAAAUGACAUUAAUAUCCCUCGCGGGCAACUCCGUGACGCCUUUGGUUCCUUGUUAGUGACCUAGGUGUGUUUUUUGGAUAGCUCAUUUAAAUUUGACAAACAAGUGUCUUCUGUUGUCAAAUUCUGCUUCCAUCAAUUGCGUCUUAUUCGCAAGGCCAGACAUUAUGUCCCUCAUAGGGACCUGGAGGGGCCUUUGUGGCAUCUAGGUUGGAUUACUGCAACUCCCUUUACUUUGGUCUUAACUCUACUCUUCUCCAUAGACUGCAGAUUGUUCCGAAUGCGGCAGCUCGUCUCCUUACUGGUACCGGGCAGGAGUCUCUAUUACCCCCAUCCUUGCUGACCUGCAUUGGGUUCCCGUUAAGUAUCGCAUUCAAUUCAAAAUCCUGCUGCUCACCUUUAGAACUAUUAACAAUAUAGCGCCAAGUUACCUCGAUGAACUACAUAGCUCAUACACCCCUGCUAGGGUACUAAGAUCAUCUUCCCAGUCACUUUUGUACAGCUGAGAUCCCGACUGAAGACUAGAGGUGGCCGCACGUUUACCUUGGCUGCACACGAUUUGUGGAAUAACCUCCCCAUUACUAUCCGAUUCCAUUCAAUCCUUCAAAUCGCGGUUAAAAACCUAUUUAUUUAAUCGUCCUAUUCUUAACUACUAAUUAUUUUUAGAUGUUCAUUGACUCUUUUAUCUGUUAGACAUAUUGUUCUGUUAUGCUUUUAUUUGUAUUUAUUUUGUUUUUGUGUUUUUUACGGCAUCAACCUGCGAGCAUGUUUGGUACUUUUCCAUGGCCUUCAUCUGUCUCUAUUAUUAUAUCUGACCCUCUUGUAUGUUCAGCACUUUGGCAUACUCCUGGUUGUUAAAUGUGCUAUAUCAAUAAAGUUUGUUGUUGCUGUUGUAA